rnacentral:piRNA from 1 species
UCCAUGUACCAGUUUCAUGGUGUCUUGCCUC